CACGGGGGGAGCAAGCGUUGUUCGGAUUUACUGGGCGUAAAGGGCGCGUAGGCGGCAAUUCAAGUCAGCUGUGAAAUCUCCGGGCUUAACUCGGAACGGUCAGCUGAUACUGCUUUGCUAGAGUGCAGAAGGGGCAACUGGAAUUCUCGGUGUAGCGGUGAAAUGCGUAGAUAUCGAGAGGAACACCUGCGGCGAAGGCGGGUUGCUGGGCUGACACUGACGCUGAUGCGCGAAAGCUAGGGGAGCGAACGGG
rnacentral:rRNA from 1 species